UACGUAGGGGGCGAGCGUUGUCCGGAUUUAUUGGGCGUAAAGCGCUCGUAGGCGGUUUGGUAAGUCGGGUGUGAAAUCUCCACGCUCAACGUGGAGGGGCCACUCGAUACUGCCAUGACUCGAGUCCGGUAGAGGAGUGUGGAAUUCCCGGUGUAGCGGUGAAAUGCGCAGAUAUCAGGAGGAACACCGGUGGCGAAGGCGGUACUCUGGGCAUUACCUGACGCUGAGGAGCGAAAGUGUGGGGAGCGAACAGG
rnacentral:rRNA from 1 species